rnacentral:rRNA from 1 species
AUGCUGAUGACGCUGCGGCACCCCAACCUGGUGUCCCUCGUCGGCUACUGCGCGCAGGCCCAGGAGCGGCUGCUCGUCUACGAGCUCCUCCCCCGCGGCAGCCUCGACGCCCACCUCUUCCUCCCUCUCCCCGCCAAUGGCGACCUCUCCGCCCAAGCCCAAGGCAAUGGUGACCGGCCGGCGCUGGAGUGGAACACGCGCGUGAGGAUCGCGCACGGCGCGGCCAGGGCGCUGCGGUACCUGCACGAGGCGGUGUCGCCGCCGGUGAUCUACCGCGACCUGAAGCCGUCCAACAUCCUCCUGGCCGACGACUUCACCGCCAAGCUGUCCGACCUGGGGCUGGCCCGGAUCGGGCCCUCCGGCGACGACACCCACGUGUCCACGCGCGUGAUGGGCACCUUGGGCUACUGCGCGCCCGACUACGCGCUCACCGGCCGCCUCACCGUCAAGUCCGACGUCUACAGCUUCGGCGUGGUGCUCCUGGAGCUCAUCACCGGCCGCAGGGCCUUCGACGCCGAGGCCGGCGACGAGAGGCGCCUCCUGGACUGGGCCAGGCCCUACCUCGCGGACGUGCGCAAGAUGUACGGCCGGCUGGCCGACCCGGCGCUGCGCGGCCGCUUCCCUCGGCGCGCGCUCUACCAGCUGGCCGUCGUCGCCUCGCUCUGCCUCCACGACAGGCCCAACCUCCGGCCGACCAUGUCGGACGUCACCCGGGCCAUCGACCACGUGGCAUCGCAGCCCUGGCAACCCGGCGCCGGUGCAGCCCAUCAUCGUGCCAAAUCGUGCCAAAUAUGA